rnacentral:rRNA from 1 species
GCAUGGUUCAAAAGUGAAAGACGGUCUUGCUGUCACUUAUAGAUGGAUCCGCGCUGCAUUAGCUAGUUGGUAAGGUAACGGCUUACCAAGGCAACGAUGCAUAGCCGACCUGAGAGGGUGAUCGGCCACACUGGAACUGAGACACGGUCCAGACUCCUACGGGAGGCAGCAGUAGGGAAUCUUCCGCAAUGGGCGAAAGCCUGACGGAGCAACGCCGCGUGAGUGAUGAAGGUCUUCGGAUCGUAAAACUCUGUUAUUAGGGAAGAACAUAUGUGUA